rnacentral:rRNA from 1 species
GAUGAACGCUGGCGGCGUGCCUAAUACAUGCAAGUCGAGCGAAUGGAUUAAGAGCUUGCUCUUAUGAAGUUAGCGGCGGACGGGUGAGUAACACGUGGGUAACCUGCCCAUAAGACUGGGAUAACUCCGGGAAACCGGGGCUAAUACCGGAUAACAUUUUGAACCGCAUGGUUCGAAAUUGAAAGGCGGCUUCGGCUGUCACUUAUGGAUGGACGCGCGUCGCAUUAGCUAGUUGGUGAGGUAACGGCUCACCAAGGCAACGAUGCGUAGCCGACCUGAGAGGGUGAUCGGCCACACUGGGACUGAGACACGGCCCAGACUCCUACGGGAGGCAGCAGUAGGGAAUCUUCCGCAAUGGACGAAAGUCUGACGGAGCAACGCCGCGUGAGUGAUGAAGGCUUUCGGGUCGUAGAACUCUGUUGUUAGGGAAGAACAAGUGCUAGUUGAAUAAGCUGGCACCUUGACGGUACCUAACCAGAAAGCCACGGCUAACUACGUGCCAGCCGCCGCCGUAA